rnacentral:rRNA from 1 species
GCACAAGCAGCGGAGCGUGUGGUUUAAUUCGUUGCUACACGAAGAACCUUACCUGGGUUUGACAUAUAGGUUGUAGGGAACUGAAAGGACGACCUUCGGGAGCCUAUACAGGUGUUGCAUGGCUGUCGUCAGCUCGUGUCGUGAGAUGUUCGGUUAAGUCCGCUAACGAGCGCAACCCUCGUCGUAUGUUAUAUGUGUCAUACGAGACUGCCGGUAAAAAGCCGGAGGAAGGUGAGGAUGAUGUCAAGUCAGCAUGACCUUUAUAUCCAGGGCUACACACGUGUUACAAUGGCCGGUACAGAGGGCAGCUACCUGGAGACAGGAUGCGAAUCUCGAAAGCCGGUCUCAGUUCGGAUCGGAGUCUGCAACUCGACUCCGUGAAGCUGGAUUCGCUAGUAAUCGCGCAUCAGCCAUGGCGCGGUGAAUACGUUCCCGGGCCUU